ACCUGGCUGGCUCAGGUGAUAGAGAAUGAGACUCUGGAUCUCAGGGUCAUGGGUUCAAGCCCCAUGAUGGUUG
rnacentral:tRNA from 1 species